rnacentral:rRNA from 1 species
AAGGGAAACCAUUAAGCAUUCCACCUGGGGAGUACGCCGGCAACGGUGAAACUCAAAGGAAUUGACGGGGGCCCGCACAAGCGGAGGAACAUGUGGUUUAAUUCGAUGAUACGCGAGGAACCUUACCCGGGCUUGAAUUGCAGAUGAACGAUCCAGAGAUGGUGAGGCCCUUCGGGGCAUCUGUGAAGGUGCUGCAUGGUUGUCGUCAGCUCGUGCCGUGAGGUGUCGGCUUAAGUGCCAUAACGAGCGCAACCCCUGUUCUUAGUUGCCAUCAGGUGAUGCUGGGCACUCUGGGAAUACUGCCACCGUAAGGUGUGAGGAAGGUGGGGAUGACGUCAAAUCAGCACGGCCCUUACGUCCGGGGCUACACACGUGUUACAAUGGCCGGUACAGAGAGUUGGUCGUGCGCAAGUACGGUCUAAUCCAUAAAACCGGUCUCAGUUCGGACUGGGGUCUGCAACCCGACCCCACGAAGCUGGAUUCGCUAGUAAUCGCGCAUCAGCCAUGGCGCGGUGAAUACGUUCCCGGGCCUUGUACACACCGCCCGUCAAGCCAUGAAAGCCGAGGGUGCCUGAAGUCCGUGACCGCAAGGAUCGGCCUAGGGCAAAAUCGGUAAUUGGGGCUAAGUCGUAACAAGGUAGCCGUA